AAAUUGAAGAGUUUGAUCAUGGCUCAGAUUGAACGCUGGCGGCAGGCCUAACACAUGCAAGUCGAACGGUAACAGGAAGCAGCUUGCUGCUUCGCUGACGAGUGGCGGACGGGUGAGUAAUGUCUGGGAAACUGCCUGAUGGAGGGGGAUAACUACUGGAAACGGUGGCUAAUACCGCAUAACGUCGCAAGACCAAAGAGGGGGACCUUCGGGCCUCUUGCCAUCAGAUGUGCCCAGAUGGGAUUAGCUUGUUGGUGAGGUAACGGCUCACCAAGGCGACGAUCCCUAGCUGGUCUGAGAGGAUGACCAGCCACACUGGAACUGAGACACGGUCCAGACUCCUACGGGAGGCAGCAGUGGGGAAUAUUGCACAAUGGGCGCAAGCCUGAUGCAGCCAUGCC
rnacentral:rRNA from 1 species